AGCAGCCGCGGUAAUUCCAGCUCCAAUAGCGUAUAUUAAAGUUGUUGCAGUUAAAAAGCUCGUAGUUGAAUUUCGGGGUCUGUCCGUCGGUCGGGCUUCACGGUCCGUACUGGUGUGAUGGGUUCCUACCUUCUGAAUAACCGGCAUGCCAUUCAGUUGGUGCGCCGGGGAAGCAGAGCUAUUACCUUGAAAAAUUAGAGUGCUUAAAGCAGGCUAGUGCUUGAAUAGAUUAGCAUGGAAUAAUAAAAUAGGACGGCAUGGUUCUAUUUUGUUGGUUUCUAGGAUCACCGUAAUGAUUAAUAGGGAUAGUUGGGGGCAUUAGUAUUCAAUUGUCAGAGGUGAAAUUCUUGGAUUUAUUGAAGACUAACUUCUGCGAAAGCAUUUGCCAAGGAUGUUUUCAUUAAUCAAGAACGAAAGUUAGGGGAUCGAAGACGACCAGAUACCGUCGUAGUCUUAACCAUAAACUAUG
rnacentral:rRNA from 1 species